rnacentral:rRNA from 1 species
AUUGAACGCUGGCGGCAUGCCUUACACAUGCAAGUCGAACGGCAGCACGGGAGCAAUCCUGGUGGCGAGUGGCGAACGGGUGAGUAAUAUAUCGGAACGUGCCCAGUCGUGGGGGAUAACGUAGCGAAAGCUACGCUAAUACCGCAUACGAUCUAUGGAUGAAAGCGGGGGAUCGCAAGACCUCGCGCGAUUGGAGCGGCCGAUAUCAGAUUAGGUAGUUGGUGAGGUAAAGGCUCGCCAAGCCGACGAUCUGUAGCUGGUCUGAGAGGACGACCAGCCACACUGGGACUGAGACACGGCCCAGACUCCUACGGAGGCAGCAGUGGGGAAUUUUUGGGACAAUGGGCGCAAGCCUGAUCCAGCAAUGCCGCGUGCAGGAUGAAGGCCUUC